rnacentral:rRNA from 1 species
UACAGAGGUCUCAAGCGUUGUUCGGAUUCAUUGGGCGUAAAGGGUGCGUAGGCGGCGCGGUAAGUCGGGUGUGAAAUCUCGGGGCUUAACUCCGAAACUGCAUUCGAUACUGCCGUGCUUGAGGACUGGAGAGGAGACUGGAAUUUACGGUGUAGCGGUGAAAUGCGUAGAUAUCAGGAAGAACACCCGUGGCGAAGGCGGCUCUCUGGGACGGUACUGACGCUGAGACGCGAAAGCGUGGGGAGCGAACAGG